rnacentral:rRNA from 1 species
GUGGCGGACGGGUGAGUAACACGUAAGAAUUUGCCUUUAGGAGGGGGAUAACAACUGGAAACGGUUGCUAAUACCCCAUAUGCUUCCGAGUGAAAUGGAAUUUUCCGCCUAGAGAGAAGCUUGCGGCUGAUUAGCUUGUUGGUAAGGUAAUGGCUUACCAAGGCGACGAUCAGUAUCUGGUUUGAGAGGACGAUCAGACACACUGGAACUGAGACACGGUCCAGACUCCUACGGGAGGCAGCAGUGGGGAAUUUUCCGCAAUGGGCGAAAGCCUGACGGAGCAAUACUGCGUGAGGGAUGACGGCCUAUGGGUUGUAAACCUCUUUUUUCAGGGAGGAAUAAAAUGACGUGUACCUGAAGAAUAAGCAUCGGCUAACUCCGUGCCAGCAGCCGCGGUAAGACGGAGGAUGCAAGUGUUAUCCGGAAUCACUGGGCGUAAAGCGUCUGUAGGUGGUUUAAUAAGUCAACUGUUAAAUCUUGGAGCUCAACUUCAAAAUCGCAGUCGAAACUAUUAGACUAGAGUAUAGUAGGGGUAAAGGGAAUUUCCAGUGGAGCGGUGAAAUGCGUAGAGAUUGGAAAGAACACCGAUGGCGAAGGCACUUUACUGGGCUAUUACUAACACUCAGAGACGAAAGCUAGGGUAGCAAAUGGGAUUAGAUACCCCAGUAGUCCUAGCCGUAAACAAUGGAUACUAGAUGUUGAACAGAUCGACCUGUGCAGUAUUAAAGCUAACGCGUUAAGUAUCCCGCCU